CCUACGGGUGGCAGCAGUGAGGAAUAUUGGUCAAUGGACGAGAGUCUGAACCAGCCAAGUAGCGUGAAGGAUGACUGCCCUAUGGGUUGUAAACUUCUUUUAUAUGGGAAUAAAACGUUCCACGUGUGGGAUUUUGUAUGUACCAUAUUAAUAAGGAUCGGCUAACUCCGUGCCAGCAGCCGCGGUAAUACGGAGGAUCCGAGCGUUAUCCGGAUUUAUUGGGUUUAAAGGGAGCGUAGGUGGAUUGUUAAGUCAGUUGUGAAAGUUUGCGGCUCAACCGUAAAAUUGCAGUUGAAACUGGCAGUCUUGAGUACAGUAGAGGUGGGCGGAAUUCGUGGUGUAGCGGUGAAAUGCUUAGAUAUCACGAAGAACUCCGAUUGCGAAGGCAGUUCACUGGACUGCAACUGACACUGAGGCUCGAAAGUGUGGGUAUCAAACAGGAUUAGAUACCCUAGUAGUC
rnacentral:rRNA from 1 species